rnacentral:lncRNA from 1 species
GUCCACUGUGACUCAGUCUCUCUUUCGGCUGGCUGAGGAUCAAGGUAUAGGACUAUCAGCUCCGUCUCUGGUGCCAGGAGCUGCCGCAUCCUUCCAGGUCACAGUGGGAGCCUCCACUACUCAAAGACACCAUGGACAACAAAUGUCAACAAUUAGGCAGUGCCGGCAACAGAAACUCAUGUACAGAACGAGGCACAGCCGUCAAGAGUGGCCAAUUGUUCCAGAAUGUUCGACACUGGACUCUUAGCUGAUGGGGCCUACCAAGACAGGACAAACUAGAUUUGUCCCUGAGCUGUGUUUUAUGUCUCUAUACUUAGAGAAGUUAUCAUCGGCAGCUAACGUGUGGCCAACGUCUCCAAGGAAACCAGGACGCUCAGGAGUUCAGAUCCUCAAAACCUACAUCGAUACAGGGGACUGAGAGAUGGUUCAGUGGCUAAGAGUUUGAACAGGCAGCACGCAUAAGAAGCUGGGUGUGGCUGAGGGUGCCCACGACUCCA